rnacentral:rRNA from 1 species
UACAGAGGCCCCAAGCGUUUACUGAGAAUCACUGGGUUUAAAGGGUGCGUAGGUGGCGCGUUAAGUCCGUUGUGAAAGCCCUGGGCUCAACCCAGGAACUGCUUCGGAUACUGGCGCGCUUGAGGCUAGUAGGGGUCACUGGAACUGACGGUGGAGCGGUGAAAUGCGUAGAUAUCGUCAGGAACGCCAAUGGUGAAGACAAGGUGACUGGGCUAGGUUCUGACACUGAGGCACGAAAGCGUGGGGAGCGAACGGGG